GCAGCCUGCAACUCGGCUGCAUGAAGUUGGAAUCGCUAGUAAUCGCGGAUCAGAAUGCCGCGGUGAAUACGUUCCCGGGUCUUGUACACACCGCCCGUCACACCAUGGGAGUCGGAAAUGCCCGAAGUCUGUGACCCAACCAUUAAGGAGGGAGCAGCCGAAGGCAGGUCGGAUGACUGGGGUGAAGUCGUAACAAGGUACC
rnacentral:rRNA from 1 species